GUAGGUGAACCUGCGGAAGGAUCAUUAUUGAAUAAACCUGAUGGGUUGUUGCUGGCUUCUAGGAGCAUGUGCACGCCUGUCAUCUUUAUCCAUCCACCUGUGCACCUUUUGUAGUCUUGGAGGUAAUAAGCGUGAUAAACAAAUCCGAGAGACCCGUUGGUCUUCGGGAAAAGAGGGACUGCAACACGAAAGUGUAAGCUGACCUUGAUGUUCACGCAAGUUUCUCCGAGUCUAUGUAUUUCAUAUAUACCACAAAUGUUAUAGAGUAUUGUCAUUAGGUCUUAGUGCCUAUAAAACAAAUACAACUUUCAGCAACGGAUCUCUUGGCUCUC
rnacentral:misc_RNA from 1 species